GCCGAAGCUGACACAUAACUUGAGGGCCAUAGCUUCUAUGGUUUAGACUGUUGACUUAUAGUGUUCCCCCGUAAAAAACCAUUUGGCAAGACUGAACGCAACUCCCAAAUGUCAACCAAGCGGUUGGUUUGGUUCUUGGCCUGGCUGUUUAAACCGCAAUACAGAUAAGGAGCAAAUUACUUUUUUGGCCAAGACGUUGCCGAGAUGCGAACCCACGAACCGCAAGCUGAAAACUAACAGCGCCGGACAACUUACAAGCAGCCUUGGGGACAGGAUGGGUUGAGAAACCAACCAACUGGACUGAAAAUGCGAUGCUAAAAUAUAGUUUAAAUGCGUGUUGAAAAUGGGUUUAUGGUGAUCCUCUGGAGAAAACCUCUGGGGGCCAACAUGGUUUGAGCUGGAGUAUUUCCCAAAGGACCUUUCGGCCCCGGAGUUCAGCGCAUAAAAGUAAGCGUAAAAAUGGUCAAGAAGCUGGCAAGAAGUUCAUAGACUUAUGUUUUGUUAAGUUUAUUACAGUUUAAAAUGAGACAAAUGAAAAUAACUUUGCCAAAACUAUUACAAGUUUUCAAAUGCAAUGCCUUUCUGAUCAUUCAAUCGAGC
rnacentral:sRNA from 1 species